rnacentral:hammerhead_ribozyme from 1 species
AUCCAACUGGCAAGUCCGAAAUAGGACGAAACGCGAGUCUUGUAU